rnacentral:rRNA from 1 species
CCUACGGGUGGCAGCAGUGAGGAAUAUUGGUCAAUGGGCGUAAGCCUGAACCAGCCAAGUCGCGUGAGGGAUGAAGGUUCUAUGGAUCGUAAACCUCUUUUAUAAGGGAAUAAAGUGUGGGACGUGUCCUAUUUUGUAUGUACCUUAUGAAUAAGGAUCGGCUAACUCCGUGCCAGCCGCCGCGGUAAUACGGAGGGUCCGAUAGUUAUCCGGAUUUAUUGGGUUUAAAGGGUUCGUAGGCGGCUUUUUAAGUCAGCGGUGAAAGGCUGUGGCUCAACGCGAGAAUUGCCGUUGAAACUGGGGGGCGUGAGUAUGUUGGAGGCAGGUGGAAUGCGUGGUGUAGCGGUGAAAUGCUUAGAUAUCACGCAGAACACCGAUUGCGAAGGCAGCCAGCUAAGCCAUGACUGACGCUGAUGCACGAAAGCGUGGGGAUCAAACAGGAUUAGAUACCCUUGUAGUC